GAUGACAUAAAGCAGCAGCAAAACCUCCAUACUGAACAGAAGACAUCAGUGACCACAGAUAUAGAACAUUUCCUGUGGCCAGGCGACAGCAGCUGAAAUAUUAUGCCCUAUAUCAGAUCUGACAAUAUGCAUGGAAGCAUUUAAGCUUGAACUGAACCUUGAGGCAGACUGGCUACAGCAGCAGCAGCAGACCACAUCAGGACUUCUCCAUCCACCUGUUCUUGACCCCAUCCUGUUGGCCUCCAGUCUGAUGAACUUUGACCCUGGUCAAUCAGUAACAGUCAGGAACCUCUU